UUCAAGAACUAAAUUUUCAAGGAGUUGCUAUUAUCUUGAUGACAUAUGGUGAUGUCGGAGCUGGUCGACAAUGACUUACAUAAAGAAAUUAAAAUGACAGGUUGCUGGAAGAUUUGGGAAGUUGCAGCAAAAUGAUUGGAAUAUUUAUCUUUUGAAUUUGGGAGGAAAAAUAAUAUGGGAUGGUCUCCAUUUUGCCUUGACACAUUUUUUUAGGA
rnacentral:lncRNA from 1 species